rnacentral:lncRNA from 1 species
UAUUUUGCUCAAGAUAAUAUAUCUCCUAUCAAAUUGUCUUUUCUUCCAACAUAUCUAAACUCUAGAUUUAAUGACUUAAUAUAAAUAAUCCAUCUUAAUAUUACGAUACCUAGUGUUAUACAAUUAGUAAUCAUUUUAAGUAAAGGCAAACAAUCUAUUUGAAUCACUACUAUUGUCUUAAUCAAAUAAUAUUUUUUAACUUUCAUAGCUGAAACAACUCUCUAUAAUUCUCUUUUCACCUAUGAAUAUAUAUAUAUUGGUGAGUACCUAAAAUCUUAGCUCCAAAUCAAACUAAAAAUCCAUGUACAUUUGAAUCAUCUUGACCUACAGUCCAUCUAAUAGCAAUCAGAUUAAUAUCCAUUCUAAGAAUCAUUAAUCUAUUAUACUUUUAAUUAAUUUUUUUUAAUAUUAGAAGUAGUAUUAAUAAUUUCUUCAAUCUUUGCACUGCUUUAAUGUAUUUUUUUCUAUUUAAAUU